rnacentral:rRNA from 1 species
CCUACGGGUGGCAGCAGUAGGGAAUUUUCGGCAAUGGGGGGAACCCUGACCGAGCAACGCCGCGUGAAGGAAGAAGGACUUCGUUCUGUAAACUUCUGUUAUCAAGGAAGAAAGUCGGAUUGAGGAAAUGACAUCCUAUUGACGGUACUUUAUUAGACAGCCCCGGCUAACUACGUGCCAGCAGCCGCGGUAAUACGGAGGGUGCGAGCGUUAAUCGGAAUUACUGGGCGUAAAGCGCUCGUAGGCGGUAUGUCAAGUCAAGAGUGAAAUCCCAGCGCUCAACGUGGGAAAUGCCUUUGAAACUGGCAAACUGGAGUGUGUGAGAGGAUAGUGGAAUUCCAGGUGUAGGAGUGAAAUCCGUAGAUAUCUGGAGGAACAUCAGUAGCGAAGGCGACUAUCUGGCACAUAACUGACGCUGAGGAGCGAAAGCGUGGGUAGCAAACAGGAUUAGAUACCCUGGUAGUC